GAUUUUGCACCUUUCCAUUUUAGCAGUCCUUCUCUCUGCAAUGUCCUUGCAGUAGAUACUGGCUUACUUCCUUCUUGUCAUUCGAAUUUUUGCUCAAAUGUCACCUCUAAAGAGCUAAAGAGCUUUCCCUUCCCUAAAAUAGCACCCUGUUCAAAGUUCUCUUUCCUCCUGGCUUUGGUGUCUCCAGAGCCCUGGGACAGUCUGGUUUGUGUGGGUCUGCAUCCAUGGCCCUCCAAAGGCAGGACGUUUGCCCCGUUCCAGCUGCUUCCUCAGUUCCUGGGCCCAGGCCUGGUUAGAAUUAGCAGCUUCCUUCCUUCCCUGGGCCUCAUCCAGGGAACAGUGUUGCUGACCUUCGGAGCCACAAAGGCCACAGAUAAUGGGGCACAGCAGGUCGAUGGAGUCAGCAGAGGGGAGAGUCCAUGGUGAGGAUGCACACACACACACACACACACACACACUCACAUGCUCACACACACUCACCCGAGAAAACUGUUAGAGUUGCCAGCCAGAAUCUCACAUUGUAAAAAUGUUUAGAAAAAUAAGGCUAAGAGGCAGAUGAAAC
rnacentral:lncRNA from 12 species